rnacentral:miRNA from 1 species
UUGUACUGCACAAAAGUACUG